GGAGAGGUUGUGGCUCAGUGGUAGAGUCUCUGUUUGGUAUGCAGAAAGUCCCACGUUCAAUCUAUGGCAUCUCCA
rnacentral:tRNA from 1 species